rnacentral:rRNA from 1 species
GCGGACGGGUGAGUAAUGUCUGGGAAACUGCCUGAUGAGGGGGAUAACUACUGGAAACGGUAGCUAAUACCGCAUAACGUCGCAAGACCAAANAGGGGGACCUUCGGGCCUCUUGCCAUCGGAUGUGCCCAGAUGGGAUUAGCUAGUAGGUGGGGUAACGGCUCACCUAGGCGACGAUCCCUAGCUGGUCUGAGAGGAUGACCAGCCACACUGGAACUGAGACACGGUCCAGACUCCUACGGGAGGCAGCAUG